UGCCAGCAGCCGCGGUAAUACGGAGGUCCCAAGCGUUGUUCGGAAUUACUGGGCGUAAAGCGCACGUAGGCGGAUUAGUAAGUUAGAGGUGAAAUCCCAGGGCUCAACCCUGGAACUGCCUUUAAAACUACUAGUCUAGAGUUCAAGAGAGGUGAGUGGAAUUCCGAGUGUAGAGGUGAAAUUCGUAGAUAUUCGGAGGAACACCAGUGGCGAAGGCGGCUCACUGGCUCGAUACUGACGCUGAGGUGCGAAAGUGUGGGGAGCAAACAGGAUUAGAUA
rnacentral:rRNA from 1 species